rnacentral:rRNA from 1 species
UACAGGGGGGGCGAGUAUUAUUCUACAUGACUGGGCGUAAAGGAUAUGUAGGCGGUUUUUUAAAUAUUAAAAGAAAAGCUAUAAAAAAAUUAUAGAUAGUUUUAAUUAUAUUGUAAAACUUUGAGUUUUAUAGGGAGAUAUUAGAACCCGAUAGAGUAAAUGUGAAAUAGUUCUGAAGACUUAGGGGGAAUUACCGAAGGUAAGCUCGAAA